AGCAGACGAGGAAACACACACACACACACAAUAUGCCUGCACUGCAUCCAGCACCCCACCCAGGGCUCUUCAUACCCUUCAUAACCCAUUGCCCGCAUUGCCCUUCUAUUCUACGAUGUUCUGGCGUUGUUGCUAUAGGGCUCAAAAGGCUAUGACGGCAGCGAUGUUACCGCUGGGAGCGGCGGCUCUCCCGUCAUCCCGACUCCAAGGCCGAUAUUUUUGGCUCCCUUUUUGUCUGCCGAAGACUUCGGCCUGCGUGUCCUGCGGGCGGGAACGCUCGACGUCGAGCUCGCGCCAACACUAGCUAGGCUAGCGUCGCUGGCAUCUGCCUCGGUGUCCAUGUCCAUGGUCCGAUAACCGAUAACCACUUUCAAAAACCGAUAUUCGAACAGCUGACUUAGCGGAGACACUAACCGAAACCCAGGUCAAAAACCAAGGUUCGAACAGCUGAGAAACACGUGGCUUCUGAGAGACACUUGGCUUUUGAGAAACACGUGACAAAUAUUAAUUUGCGAGUAAUUUCGUCUAUUCGGCAACUAAUUAAACAAGGGAAAACACAUUCUUUCGCACUGAAAACCCGACGGUAAGG
rnacentral:lncRNA from 1 species